AACGCCUUUAAUGGUUUGUUAACCUUUCGGGAUCAGUCUGGCUGCAAUAUCUGCUUCCUCCUUGACCACGGAUGUACUGGCACCGAAGCGAAGCAGAUGACGAAAGGCCGGUUUUCGCCGGCCUUUUUGUCU
rnacentral:sRNA from 1 species